CACUCAUGUUUCUCUUCAGAUUGUAUAUAUAUAUCUUUCGCCUUUUACUAAAGAUUUCCGUGGAGAGCAACAGCAUGAGCUUAUACUAAUUUUUCACACUCUGCUCUUGGAGGGC